ACCUUUAUAUUUUUCUAAACCUUAAGGCAGUGUGGUGUAGUGUAGUCACUGAGGACACGAUCGAGGACUCAUUGCUGCGUCUAUUGUGUAUGUUUAUCUGAGCCGUCUCUCGUGUUAAUGGCAUCCGGUGGGCAUGUACUGUCAAAUAUAAUCAUGCAGUGCUCAGCUGUGCUCAGUUAUGUGGUGUCUAUGGGGAACAGGAGUUUGGGGUCAGAUACAUACAAACACGUACCUUUGUGCCAGGUCAUUUAAUCUUGAACAGGUGUUUUGUGUUUCCAUCUGUAUUCACAAGGCUUUGCUAAGUUAAAGAGUGUUUGCAUUCCUCAGGAUUGUGGUUUCAGAAAGCAUAAGCCCAUCCUCAGAAAAACAUACAGCAUGUUUUCCAUAUAGUUCAGCAACAUCAGUGAUUUUCAUCCAUUAAUUCCAUAGUUUCACCCAAAAUUGUUAACUGAUGCAUCCUUUUUAGUGUGGUACAUUUUUGAAAGCUUAUUUGAACAAAUCUGGUUCUAGACUUCUAUCACUCAGUUUGCUGUUCUAUUUUAAUAAUGAAAAUGUCCGUUCUCUAUAAAUUUUUUAGUUUUGGUAAUAGAAAAGUCAUUGGCCAAACAAUUUGGGAACCCUGAAACUUGCAACCUUUUAGAUCUUCUCUUUUAUUUUAUCUGUCAGAAUACAUGCAUAUUUUAUUUUAUUAUAUUUAUAUUAUUUUUAUUUUUUGAUAGGAGUGAACCUAAACAUACAGACAUAUAGGAAACCUUAAUUUGUGUGUGUGAAUGCGUGUGCUGUUUGAAACUAAGAUCUUAAUUGAAUCACUGUAUAAUCAUCUAUUGUGAAUAUGUCAUAGGUCUGUAGAUUUAUCAUGUAGUUUUUUGUAUUUUAUUUACGUCUAAAUGAUUAGUCAGAUUGUUAGUGAUCAUGUUUCUAAGCAUUUCUCAGACUGAACUGUUCAUAGUGUUUAACGCUUUUUAUUUGCAAAAUAUUAUUUCUCAACACAAGCUCCGCUGUAACACAGCUACUGAUCUGUUUUUGCUGUUAUCCCAGUUUUCCUUUCCAUUUAUUUGUUGUAUUCAUUCAUUCAUGAUCAUAAACAAAACAAAAAACACUGAUCCGAUUUCCUAUUGCUUCCAAUCUAGGAAUAAGAGAACGAAUGGAGCAAUGUGUGUGAAUGCAACACCUAAACAGAAUCAUGUUAAAAAUGAAGGAAAUAGUAUAAACAUGGUGAUGAGAAACAAUAUUUUAUUUUUUAUUUCCCUAUGUUUUUAAUGAAUUACAUAGUUCAAUAUGUGUAAGCGAAUAUGACUAUUGUACAGAAUGGCUGAAUUCAUUUGCGUGUUCUGGAUAAAUAAACAGGAAUUGUUGUAGCAUAAUAUGAUGUGUCAGAGAGAUGUAACGUGGAUAAUUGCUCUGAAUUACAGCUGUAAAAUAAAUGUGAAGGAAGCUAAAAAAAA
ensembl:lncRNA